rnacentral:rRNA from 1 species
GCAGUCGAGCGCGAAGUCCCUUCGGGGAUGAGUAGAGCGGCGAAAGGGCGAGUAAUGCGUUCCUACGUGCCUCGAGGUCGGGGAUAGCCCGGGGAAACCCGGAUUAAUACCCGAUGUGGUCCUUCGGGAUCAAAGGCUUGCUGCCUCGAGAGCGGGGAACGUCCUAUCAGGUUGUUGGUGAGGUAACGGCUCACCAAGCCGAAGACGGGUAGCGGGUGUGAGAGCAUGACCCGCCGCAUCGGGACUGAGACACUGCCCGGACUCCUACGGGAGGCUGCAGUAACGAAUCUUCCGCAAUGCGCGAAAGCGUGACGGAGCAAUGCCGCGUGCAGGAUGAAGCCCCUCGGGGUGUAAACUGCUGUCAGGGUUUAGCAACACAAUGAGCAGACCCAAAGGAAGGGCCGGCUAACUUCGUGCCAGCAGCCGCGGUAAUACGAAGGGCCCGAGCGUUGCGCGGAAUCACUGGGCUUAAAGCGUACGUAGGCGGGCGUGCAGGCGUCUUGUGAAAGCCCUCGGCUCAACCGAGGAAUUGCAGGACGAACCGCACGUCUUGAGGCGAGUAGGGGCUGUCGGAACGAUCGGUGGAGUGGUGAAAUGCGUUGAUAUCGAUCGGAACG